rnacentral:rRNA from 1 species
AUUGAACGCUGGCGGCAUGCCUUACACAUGCAAGUCGAACGGUAACAGGUCUUCGGAUGCUGACGAGUGGCGAACGGGUGAGUAAUACAUCGGAACGUGCCCGAGAGUGGGGGAUAACGAGGCGAAAGCUUUGCUAAUACCGCAUACGAACUCAGGAUGAAAGCAGGGGACCGCAAGGCCUUGCGCUCACGGAGCGGCCGAUGGCGGAUUAGGUAGUUGGUGGGGUAAAAGCUUACCAAGCCGACGAUCUGUAGCUGGUCUGGGAGGACGAGCAGCCACACUGGGACUGAGACACGGCCCCGACUCCUACGGGAGGCAGCAGUGGGGAAUUUUGGACAAUGGGCGCAAGCCUGAUCCAGCCAUGCCGCGUGCAGGAUGAAGGCCUUCGGGUUGUAAACUGCUUUUGUACGGAACGAAAAGACUCUGGUUAAUACCUGGGGUCCAUGACGGUACCGUAAGAAUAAGCACCGGCUAACUACGUGCCAGCCGCCGCCGUAACAC